rnacentral:lncRNA from 1 species
UAUACCGACUGGAAAUCGAAAAUUCUGCUUCUUAUACUGGAGCGAUUCAGCAUUCAACAAUACUGUACACGCUUGCCAACUUGCAUGACACUACCGCUUAAUUUUCUCCAACACUACUUGCAUUACGUUUUCAUAUUUUACAAUUUGAUUAUUUGAAAUCAGUAUCUAUUAUUUGUAACUGUUAUAUGUAAUAACCCUAGUAACGAUAAGAGAUAAGAUCUAUACGGAAGUACAUAUGUUGAUUCUUUUGUAACCACACGUAUUUUCCCUUAUAGUUUAAAUGCAUUACAAAAUUAUAAAUUAUUUCAUCUUCUUCUUUACAUUUUUAAUCUACAAUUUACAUUAUAUUUUAAAAUUGUAAAUAGAUAUAUUUUAAUAUAUAAGUUGCGUAUGCAUUAUAAGACAUAUUUAUUAAAACUUAAGUACAAUAAUAGUGAAUUCAGUUUUGUUGAUACAUAUGUAUACUUAUAUCUAUAAUCAAACAUUGUAACAUUGUAUAAAAAUAUAUAAAUUAAAA